GACGAACGCUGGCGGCGUGCUUAACACAUGCAAGUCGAACGGAAAGGCCCUGCUUUUGUGGGGUGCUCGAUUGGCGAACGGGUGAGUAACACGUGAGUAACCUGCCCUUGACUUUGGGAUAACUUCAGGAAACUGGGGCUAAUACCGGAUAGGAGCUCCUGCUGCAUGGUGGGGGUUGGAAAGUUUCGGCGGUUGGGGAUGGACUCGCGGCUUAUCAGCUUGUUGGUGGGGUAGUGGCUUACCAAGGCUUUGACGGGUAGCCGGCCUGAGAGGGUGACCGGCCACAUUGGGACUGAGAUACGGCCCAGACUCCUACGGGAGGCAGCAGUGGGGAAUAUUGCACAAUGGGCGGAAGCCUGAUGCAGCAACGCCGCGUGCGGGAUGAAGGCCUUCGGGUUGUAAACCGCUUUCGCCUGUGACGAAGCGUGAGUGACGGUAAUGGGUAAAGAAGCACCGGCUAACUACGUG
rnacentral:rRNA from 1 species